AAGUCGUAACAAGGUUUCCGUAGGUGAACCUGCGGAAGGAUCAUUACCAAACUAGUCUUCGGUGGGGGGAAACCUCCGCCGUGUAAGCUCACUAGUCACCCUUGAAUAAACUACCUUUGUUGCUUUGGCGGGUCGCCUUUUUGGCCAGCGGCUUCGGCUGCUGCGUGCCCGCCAGAGGACCACAACUCUUGUUUUUAGUGAUGUCUGAGUACUAUAUAAUAGUUAAAACUUUCAACAACGGAUCUCUUGGUUCUGGCAUCGAUGAAGAACGCAGCGAAAUGCGAUAAGUAAUGUGAAUUGCAGAAUUCAGUGAAUCAUCGAAUCUUUGAACGCACAUUGCGCCCUCUGGUAUUCCGGAGGGCAUGCCUGUUCGAGCGUCAUUAUAACCACUCAAGCCUUCGCUUGGUAUUGGGGUUCGCGGUUCCGCGGCCCCUAAAAUCAGUGGCGGUGCCUGUCGGCUCUACGCGUAGUAAUACUCCUCGCGUCUGGGUCCGGUGGGUGACUUGCCAGCAACCCCCAAUUUUUUAAGGUUGACCUCGGAUCAGGUAGGGAUACCCGCUGAACUUAAGCAUAUCAAUAAGCGGAGGAAAAGAAACCAACAGGGAUUACCUCAGUAACGGCGAGUGAAGCGGUAACAGCUCAAAUUUGAAGGCUAGCUCUUUUAGGGUUCGCAUUGUAAUUUGUAGAAGAUGCUUCGGGUGUGGCCCCGGUCUAAGUUCCUUGGAACAGGACGUCAUAGAGGGUGAGAAUCCCGUAUGUGACUGGGUGCUUUCGCUCAUGUGAAGCUCUUUCGACGAGUCGAGUUGUUGGGGAAUGCAGCUCAAAAUGGGUGGUAUAUUUCAUCUAAAGCUAAAUAUUGGCCAGAGACCGAUAGCGCACAAGCAGAGUGAUCGAAAGAUGAAAAGCACUUUGGAAAGAGAGUUAAACAGUACGUGAAAUUGUUGAAAGGGAAGCGCUUGCAACCAGACUUGCGCGCUGAUGAUCAUCCGGGCUUCUGUCCGGUGCACUCGUCUGCGCUCAGGCCAGCAUCGGUUUCGGUGGUGGGAUAAAGGCCUUGGGAAUGUAGCUCCUCUCGGGGAGUGUUAUAGCCCUCGGUGCAAUGCCGCCUACCGGGACCGAGGACCGCGCUUCGGCUAGGAUGCUGGCGUAAUGGUUGUAAGCGACC
rnacentral:rRNA from 1 species